UCUUCGGAGAGUUUGAUCCUGGCUCAGGAUGAACGCUGGCGGCGUGCCUAAUACAUGCAAGUCGAGCGAACUGAUUAGAAGCUUGCUUCUAUGACGUUAGCGGCGGACGGGUGAGUAACACG
rnacentral:rRNA from 1 species